rnacentral:lncRNA from 1 species
AAAUGAAGUUAGCAUAAAAUGAAACAGCUGUAUUUCCAAUUGAACCGACUUCAAAAAAGGUAUCAAAAUGUGUACAUUGUCAAGUUUGAACUUCUGAAAAGAGGCACCUAUUAACACACAAAAAACUUGGAAGAAAACUGCUAAAUGACUCAAGUUUUAGCGUAGCGCAUCUAACCAUUUUGCAGCUGUAGGACUCAAGGAUAGUGCUUUUAUAUAAGAUGUUUGUUUAAUUUCAACAAUGUGAACGAUUUAGAUUAAUCAAAUAAGCACUACGUUAAAGGACGCAUGUUUUAGAUCCCUUUGAGAAGCUACGGUUUCCACUAAGCGAUGCUGAGUACCAGAAACUGUCACUUGGUCUCUUGUGGGAGAUAAAAGAAAACGUUGUAAAUUGUUGUUGGCCAACUGAAGAAAAGGAUAACCAUGCAAUAAAAAUGAUGGCAACGAUGGAAGAUUUUAAUGCCUUUGAAAGAGAGUUGUUAGACGAACAGAAACGUUCAAUCUUGAAAAUCUUUACGUCAAGUCCGUGGUUUGGAUGCGAAAGACCAAGUAAUAUUGAUACUGGAAAGACUGUUUACCGUUGGACUUCUGUCCCAAUUUAAGAACGCCCCUGAUCAAAUCGGGGGGUUGCGUAGGCAACGCCAAGAAACAGAGGAGAAAGCUCAAGAAACAGAGGAAAAA